UACAGAGGUCUCAAGCGUUAUCCGGAAUGAUUGGGCGUAAAGCGUCCGCAGGUGGCAAUGUAAGUCUGCUGUCAAAGCGUCUGGCUCAACCAGAUAAAGGCAGUGGAAACUACAUAGCUAGAGUAAGGUAGGGGUAGAGGGAAUUCCUGGUGUAGCGGUGAAAUGCGUAGAGAUCAGGAAGAACACCGGUGGCGAAAGCGCUCUGCUGGACCUUAACUGACACUGAGGGACGAAAGCUAGGGGAGCGAAUGGG
rnacentral:rRNA from 1 species